CAAGCAGUUUGAUAUUUCUCAUGCUCAGUGCAAGAGAGUUUAUUACCAGCUAUAUUAUACAUAAUGUUCAUUAUAUUGACUUCACUUGCAUGUAAAUGAACAUUUGUGUAGCUUUUUUCAUGUAGUAGUGAUAGGCUGUUUAUUUAUUGAUAAGGCUUUACUACCAUCGUGGGUCAAACUGCUGUCGUGAACAGAACCAAAACUUUUCAAUCAGCUGUGUGUGUCCUGAACAGCCUGCGGAAUAAUGCUGCAUGUUGAAGUGGCUGGAUGGACAUCAGGAGAAUCCAGGCCUGCAGCUCCAGGCCAUGCAAGGAUUCCUCUAUCGCACCGGUAUUACCGUGGGUGAACUGGACAAACUCAAUAUUAUCCAUGUCCCUGGGACUAAAGGAAAGUUUCUUUUUUUCCCAGGAUCAACGUGUGCUUUUACUGAAAGAAUACUCAGGAAUUAUGGCUUUCGGACGGGAUUUUACAGCUCUCCCCACUUGGUUCAUGUCAGAGAGAGAAUAUGCAUCAAUGGAUGGCCAAUCAGCAAGCAGCUUUUUGCCAAGUACUUUUGAGAGACUUAUGAGCAGUUAGAGGACACAAAGGUAGGCUCUGUUGAUCUAUAUAUGAUUUCCGUCCAUGUGACUUUAAGGAAAGGGGGAUGCAGGAAGGAUUUGUUUGUAGUAUUCUUCUCUGGUUCUGAUGCCAAGUAAAAAGACACUAAGAAAUAAGUGAAUAUGAGCAUCAGUCCAGACUUAGGUCUGUAACAAAUAUGAGCAAAUGCAUCGAUUGUUAUUACCCAUACAUUGGAGUAUUCUCAUGUUUUCAUUCCUGACGAUUCACUCUGCUUUUUCUCUUGGAAAUGGAUGAACACUCUAGGUGUCUUGGGGCCAUUAAGGGGUAAUCCAGUUAUCUAGUAUUGCACUCCAUAAAGUUUAGGGAGUCACAGGAGAUAAAAACAAACAAACAAAAAAACAAACAAAAAAAAAUCCAAAAUUGAUAAAUCAGGCCUACAUAUCAAUAGACUUUUAGGGGGUCUCACAUCAGGGACCCGGGCCCGGAUCCAAGUCCACUUGACCACGAAGUCUAAUUCGUUUGAUUAGUCUGAACACUGUGUGCCAUACCCGGGCACAGUUCAUUGAUCUGUUGCUGGGUAUGGUAUACAGAAAACAGAUCACCGAACCAUGUCAGGGUCCAUUUGAAAAGGUGGGCUCAAGUAUGGUUCAUGUGUACUCGGGUAUGGUUUGCAUCAGCUGUGAAAACUGCUAUACCAAAACACGAAAGUGGGAUUCUAUUUAGAAUGUUAUGUCUUAACUGGUCUGUUUCUCCCCUUAUUGACGAAUGCAAGUAGCAGUCAGCGAGUAGAGUCGCAAAGGCAUUUCUCAACGCCGCCUGUUUCCUCUGAAAUCUGUGUAUGCCUGCAGUAUGCGCUGAGCUAUUCCUUUGAACUGCAAGGCCAUAGUUGAUAAAGUAGGAACACAGGUGAGAGGGUUGUUCUUGACAUUGUCUCCAAAAUAUCAAUAAUAUUAAGCAUAGUGUGAAGGUCAAUACCAUUGUAUGGGCAUGUAAUUGUGAUUGGUGCGCUUUUCUACACAGCAUAAACAAAUGUCGUGUGGUUGAUGAUGCAAGUGUACUUUUCUUCUUCUUUGUUUUAUGGGCAGAUUGCAAACAAACUAGGUGCAUACUGCCAACUACUGUAUCAGAGUGUGUAGAUACGCAAGUGUACUUGGGUGUGGAACAACAUUGCUAAUGCGAAAGCUGGGGCGGGAGGCAAUCGCACUCUGGCAAGGACGUCCAUAGAGGCACCAUGCCCUUUUAUUUUCAGUUCCUGACUCUUCUGGCCUUCCAUGUCUUUCUGCAGGAGAGGGUAGAUUUAGCAGUGAUUGAAGUUUGGAUUGGAGGGCAGUACGACUUCACGAACAUAAUCAGAUGGCCUCAGUUUAGCUCAAACAGGCUGCAGACUGAGCUCCCAAGCUGUCCCUUUCCAGCUCAGCACAGCCAUGCUGAAAGG